CAGCGUUGCGGCUGGAGGCAGGGCUGGUCCUCUACCUGCUGUCCACUGCCACCUUGGCCUGCUCUUGCGCUGCGAACUCUGUGCCGCCGCUCCCUUCACCAUAUUUUGGGACGGCCGGCGCUAAGAAUUUAUGCUAUGACCUUCGAUUCAGCCAGGAGGUGACACCAAACUUGAUCAGAAACCAUGCCACAGGUGAAGAGGUAUAUUGAGCCCUGCCUGGCCAGUGAGGUUACUAGAGAAUUGGAAGAGGCUCAAGUCAGCAUCCUGCACAUGGUUAUCAAACCAUUGUGAAGUCUUAGUAAGUGGUCAGUGGCUCUGGUGGGCUUGCCCAGUUAGUGGGAAGGGCCAGGAAAGGUAGUCUUACUAGGCCUAGGCAGUUACUUCAUAUUUUCCCAUUAUGACAUGGAAAAAGGUCUUAAAAUAUUCAGACUAUACUAGAGACUACUGAGCCUAACCUCUCCUUUUCCCAUUCUUGCAUUUUUGCAGAUGAUCUCUUACAAGAUCAUAGCUAGUUGGUGUAGAAAAUAGAUUUGAAUCGUUGCCCAGUACUGUGUCUUCCACCUAGUGCUUUCUCUAGAUUCCAUCUAAGUCCAUGGAGGCCAUGUGAGACAAACAUUUUUAUUUCACACUGUAAACGGUUUUUUUAAUAGCCUCUGAGAUUGUGCUCCUCUGAUAAAGUAAAUAUCCAUGAUGUAAAUUUUUUAUUAUUUAUAAAAUCACCUGGGAUACUUGUUAAAAAUGCAGAUUCUUGGGCAGCUAGGAACUUUGUCACUGGUCAAGAGCAACAAGUAACAAGUAAGACCUACUUGUCACUUAUCCUGAGGCAUCAUGCCCAGUGGGUUUACAAGCAAAUCAGAAUGAAGCAUCGUUGCCCUGGAUGUCCUUGUGAGGUGGUUGGGAAAUCUUGGCUGAACUGUGGAGAAUAUCUUCGAAAAGUGUUUUAGAGAGUCUACCAGAUUUUCCAUGUGAGUGCCUGUGCAGCAGAAGAGUGGGUCUUCUCAGUGGUUAAGGUUCACAGUGAUUAAGUGUUUGCCUUCUUCAGAAUGUCUUCUACCCUACGUAGGCCCAGAAGUGAAUCUGAUACACAGUCACAGAAGUUGCAAUGGAUUCUUUCAAGGCCUUUAAGCCUGGUUUGUUUCCAUGGAAAAGAGCAUAACAGAAGAUUGAGUGUCGAAAUGUCCCUGGCAGCAGGCAUGAAUUACUUUAGAAUGAGACUUGUUCCAGAGUAUUCAGUUGACUUCCUAAGUAGAGAACUGCCUUUUGCUUCCUUUAUCUGGCUACCAAGACAGAGAUUCCUGGGAGUCAACCUGCCAUCAAGUCAACUGUUUUGCCUCAGAUGUUUCAGCCCAGGUUCAACUUUGGAAUUUCAGAUUCUUCUGUCUUCAGGUCCAGAGCCUCCAUUUGACUUUCCAUCUCCUCCACUGAGGAUUGUGGAGUUAAGUCGGGAAAGAAAAUGGCUGUGCACAGAGGGAGGAUUUAUCACUGUUCUUCAAGGACACUUCUGUGGCAGUGACAGUGGUUGGGAAUGUUAGCGCUCACUGCCCUGACAGAGACCUGCUUCAACAGGGUACGAAGUGUUGCCUCUGCUACUUCUCUGCUAGAUCAUCAUUUAGCCCAGCUGUAUUAUGAGAUCAUCUUUUGACUUCAUGGUGUCACUGAAAGGCUUACAUGUCCUAGUGGAUGAAAAUAUUUCAACGCUUCUCUCUGCCGUCUUUUUGCUGCCAUACACUGUGCUGGGUGAUGGGGAUAUGGAGAUGAAUUAGACAUGAUUCCUGCCCUCAAGGAGUUCUCAGCCUAGUGAGAGUUCGACAUGUACACAGAGAAUUACAACAGUAUGGUAUGCUCUACAACGGAGGUGUUGCUGUUGGUUCCUUCAAGACCAGGGCUUGGCUGCACAGAUUUUGCAAGUUCCUUUAGGGGGUGGGACAGCCAUAUGUGAAAUGUUGACUCUAAGAAAGACAACUGAAGAGCCACAGACUUCUCAUAGUGUUACUAAGUUCUUGAUCCUUCUCAUCAGUAGCAGGGCUACCCACACUGUCACGUAUCUUCCAAAAUAUUUUUUACCAAAACUGGAGGCUUUUAUAUUUAAAACCCUCUCAGGGAAGAAAUGACCUUGGUUGUUAUUGUCUCAAUGCUUUAUUUUGUUUAAGGAUUUUUGAAUGCUUAUGGUUAUAUCUCCUGGUAAAAAAUAUUUACAAUAAUUAAAAAUAUAAAUAUAUCUGGAAUUUAUUUUCUUGUUUCUCAAAGCAAUAUAAAUACAAUAUUUGGCAAAUUCUCUCCUUAAGGCUCAGAGGAUUCAGAGAAUGGCUUUCUGUGACUAGAAUAAUUGAUUGGAGAUUAUGUUUAAGUAGACCUUUUGUAUUUUCAGUGAACCUUAUGAAACUAGCCAUACUGAAGAGCAGUGGAGGGGAGAAGGGUUGGAAGAGGAAACCCUGAGCAGGACAGCAAAACAGUACAGUGACAGUUUGGGCCUUACACUCAGAUCUAGCCUCACACUUACAAUGUAGUUUUGAGCAUGGUUUUGCACCUCUUUCUGGUACUUUAUUUCUUCUUAUGUAAAAUAGAAUUAGUGAUAUCUUUUUGCAAUGAUGAGUGGGGGUGGGAAUAUAAGGAUUUAAUGGGAUUAUUUAUGUAAAUUGCUUGGAACAGAUGUGGGAUAUGCUGAAUGCUAUAUGAACUGUAGUUGCUGUUGAUAAUAAUGUUGACCUUGACAAGGAUUUAAAAAACAUAGUUAACUAAAGGUACUUAACAUUUUAUAUUGUCAAUAAGGAUGUUGGGGUUUGCAAAAGAAAGUAAAGCUACCUGAUCUCAAGGUUUUCAGUGGCAUGCUAGAGGGAAGUCAGUUUCCUGCUGUUAUUUUUCUUUUUCCCUCUGUCAAAUAGGUUGGGAAACCAGAUGACUUUCGUCCAUGCCCUGAUCACUAAUCUAUUGCAUUUGCUCUUAUUUCCAAAUAUAAAACUGUUGAAAUUUUGUAUAAUACCUAAACUGAAUAAAGUUAUCCUAAAAAAUGUAGAAAAAUACUUUGGAAUUGGUCAAAACUGGAUUUGAAACCUAUUACUAGCUAUGUGAUCUAAGGCAUGUUACUUAACCUAAUUGAACCUCAGUUUCUUCAUCUAAUAUAUAAUAAUUAAUUUUCAGGGUGUUCAUGAGGAUAUUGUAAAGUGUGUGUUAUAAGCACGCUAUAAAUUACAGCUAUCAUUGUUAGUUCUUGGAACAUUCACCGCAUGACAGAAACAACAGCAGGCCCUGGUGGCUGGGAGGACUUCAUGGAUCCAACAGCAACCUGAAGAAAUCCUACUCGGAUGGAUAUAAUACAACCUGCUAAGUGUCCUAGCACUUAUCAGGUUGUAUUAUCAUUGUCCGUGUCUAUGGCUCUCGUCUACCAGACUCUAAAUUCCUUACAGGCAAGGACAGUGCCUUAUUCAUCUUUGUAUUCGCGGUGCCUAAUCCGGUGCACAUUGUAGGCCUCAUUAAAUGUUUGUUGAAUGAAAAAAUGAAUCAUCAACAGACAUUAAUUGGGCGCCUGCUCUGUGAUCUCCAUGGGCUCAUCUUGUCCCCGCCAGUUGCCUACAACGUCCAAGCUGUCUUCAAUAUGCUUUCUUCUGAAGCUCACUCCUGUCUUCUAAUUCUUUUGCCAAGAACUUUUCUGUGUAGUGCAAAGACAGCAAAUAUACUUCAUCUCAAGUACCAUCUCCAGUUGAUUGAUAGUAUCUGUCUUUAUUAUGUUCUAUAAAAAAUAGUUCUGAAGCCAGGUGUCAACUCAGUAUGAAAGAGGAUUAUAACUAAUUAGUGAUGUUUGCUGGGGGUGGGGGAAGGGGAUUAGCAGCAUAAGUGCCAUAUAUAUGUCAUAUUUAAUAUUGUGUUUUCCAUGAAAUACUCUGUUUCCAUGCCUGUAUUUUAGUCUUGGCUACUUGCAGAUGUUGCAUUGCCGCUGCUGCCACCACUGCUGUUACUACAGUUGCUACCAGUUGUUCCUUGGGUAGGACCAGAGUGAUCAUUGAUCAGAAACUCAUCCUCACAGUCUGGGGUUUGCUGCUGUUGCUGGUAUUCAGUUUUCCCCUUUCAACUUUACCUCAGCUAACCCCUUACCUACAUUAACAGGUAGGCCUUUAGUUUAUGUUCACCACUCAACAGGCUCAUAUUUCCUUUUUCUUAUUUACUGUGAUUAAUCAUUAUUGCUUCAUGAGAAGCCUUCUUUCUAUUAGAUGUGACAACUAGAAUACAAGUUAAACCAUUCCAUCAAGGCCCUACAGUGAAUCAUAUAAGUUCCCCUUUAAUAUAGGAGAAAAUUGAGCAUACUCACACACUAUGAGGCAGGGAGAAGGCAGACAUUGUACAUAUGGGAGAGAGAUGAUAACUUAUGGCUCUUAGAACAUAGGCGGAGGGUUAGCCUUAGAUCAAAGGAGUUACCUCUUUACUGGGGUAUAGUGAUAAGAAUAGGAGUUAGAAACAGUACCUGAUAAGGGUGUUGGAGAUUUGUAAUUGUAGAGGUGGGUGAGAGGAAGCUGACCAGGGACAGGAUUACAGAGACAAGAGUCUUAAGAAAUAUCCAGGCCAUAUCAAAGUGAGCAACUAGUUUGAAACUUGAUUAGAGACUCAGGAAAAGAAAAGGUAAUCUUGAGCCAUUGUCACAAGUAGCAUUUGGUUGCCUAGAAUUGAUCUUGAUUGAUUGAAGGAUAGGGGCUUCUCAGGUGGCUUCUCAGUGGUAAAGAAUCUGCCUGCCAGUACUGGAGAUGCAGGUUCGAUCCCUGGGUCAAGAAGAUCCCCUGGAGGAGGGCAUGGCAACCCACCCCAGUAUUCUUGCCUGGAGAAUCCCAGAGACAGAGGAGCCUAGUGGGAUACAGUCCAGAGGGUCACAAAGAGUCAGACAUGACUGAAUGAGCAUGAUUGAGGGAUGAACAGCUAGCAAGAGAAGAGUUACACACCAGUGAAUUUGAGGAUCCAGACUGUAUAUGAAAGGAAGGUCAGAGUCUACAUAGAAAAAGUGGCCUUAGUGUGAUCAAGAUGGGUGCUGAGUCUUUGGAAAACUGGUAUGAUAGGAUCUAUAUCAGAGACUGAACUUUGGAAUGGUAAAAUUUAAAAACUGGAGUGAUCAAGAUACCUGUGAUGCUAGGAUGUCAGAUGGUUGUUUACUUGGGUAUUGAAAUGACCCAGGAUUAUAGCAAAAGCUGGGCUAGGAAUGAACACUGAGGGCUAGAUAAAAUAGGUUUCAGUGACUGAAGAAUGAUCUGGGGAUUGGCACAUGACAACUGUGCAGGUUCAAGAGAAGAAAGGAUGCAGUGGGAUAGUAGUAUGAGCCUCAGAAGAGUGGUGGAAAUUACUAGAAGAUGCAAAAACUGUUGUUUGCCCAUUGCACUGAGGUUUUGGCUGGCAGAAUGAACAUCUAAAAUGAUUCCUUUCUCUAUUAAGUGCUUAUUCUAUGCCUGACAUUUUGCUGUGUGCCAUGUAUUUCUCCCUUUUGGUCUGUCACAUAUCCUGUGUGAAAAUGAGCAGCAAUUCCAGGUGAGGGUUAGGGUUAGGCUGCUGGCCCUUAGCACUGGUGGAAUCCUGUUGCCAUCUCCUAACUCUUUGAAAGAGCAGAAGGCUGGUCAUCUGAAAGUGUCAGAAAAAGAUUUAUUUAGGAUCAGAAUUUCUCCUUGACCUUGAUGUAGCUUGAUUACAUGGUACAUGCUUUUGUUGGCUGUGUUCCAUAAUAUACUUUGGCCUCUGAGCCUCUGAGUUGAGGAGUGAACUAGAACUGUCCUUUGAAAAAGAUAGGCACAGUUCUUUAAAAACACAUAUUAAUUAGAAACAAGACACAGUCCUAUUAUCUAAUUGAGCUUUUAAGAUAAAGAGUAGACAAAAGAAAGCCCUCAUCAGUGGAUGAAUAACAAAACCACUUUGUAAAAGCCAUUUAGGGUCAGGACAAAUCCAGUUUAGUGGCCCUAUUGUAGAUGUUCCCUGUGUUGUUGGGAAGGAGGGCUGGAAAUUGAUGCAAAGAGAUAGCCCUUAGGACUUGGAAGGUAAAAUUUAGGGUGAGUGUCUAUGAGCCCUCUGACACCGCAUGCAGUCCUUUUUCUUUUCUUAUAGUCUUCAAACGAGUCAAUAUUCCAAUGAAGGUUUAGAGCUAGUGUGUUAGAGUCACCAGGCCUUCAGACAGCCUAUCCCCUCCUGUGGGAGCUGCUGUAUAUUUAUUCCUCAGGAGGAGCUGGUAGAAGACUUCAUGAAGGAGAAGAAAAGGAAAAAAGUCAGAGGACGACUACAACCUCUCUUCGUCUCAGCUUUGCAAAGCAUGACUCAACAGAGAGAUCACACUCUUGAAGACUCUCCAGACCACAGCCACCGCAGACACUAACCACAGCCAGCAACUGGACCUCCACCCCAGGAUUUACUAUUGAUGUCUCAACUGAUUAUGAAAUCAGUAGGAGAGCUUGUAUCCCUUUCUAGCUUGCUCAUCAGAGAUUUUAAGAUUUGCAUACAUGUGGUAUGUAAGGACACAAAUCUUAUGGGUUAAUAGUAAACUGUCAGGAGUCCUGGUUACUUUUUGUCUCUUGGAAAUGGGAAAGAUAGGGUAUGGGAAAAGUGGAAAGUCUUAUACCUUUCAGAUAUUCUCAAUGAUUGCUCAGGGCACCCAUAGUCACAUCUUCUGAUGCCUUAUCUUAUAUCAUGCCUCUCCUUUCUUCAGAAUUGCAGUGCGCUCCUUGCUCUCUAGCCACUUUUCAUUUCCUGCUCCACACUGAUGGGUUUCAGCAAGUGUUUUUUCUUUUUCUUCCCCCAGGCCACAUGUCUGUAACAGGCCCCAGCUGGGAAGAGCUUUAUUGUGAAUGAAGCUUCAGUGAAUGUUGGGAGUGACGUCAUGUUUUUCUCUCUGGAUAUGUGGAGAGAAGGAGUGCAGUGCAGAGAGGAAGGAGAGGGAAACUAUGAUAUCCCAUUAUAAAGUAACAAAUGCUUGACAUUUUAGUGGGUAUUAGACCUAAAAGCCUACAUGAUUGAAGGAAGCAAACCAUGAUCUCUGUUGUUUGUGAGUGAAGAUAGGAAUGAACUCCUUAUUUCCUUGAAGAAUGAAGGAAGGGAGGGAGGGAGAGAGAACUGAAGGAGGUCAUAAAAUCCUUUACUUAAUUGGAGGAGGCACUGAGACUCGCUUCAUGAACUUGUACUUUUUAAAGGUAGCUUGAAGAUAAGUUGUGCUGCACUAUUUCUGUUGCUACUCGUGAGAGUCACUACCAGCCUCUCUUCUCAGGACUAAUGGGCCAGAAACCUUGGGCAGAAUGACUUCAGGCAACCCCAAACACCAGAUAUUGGCAUAAGGAAACAGUACAAUGAAAAGUCAAUACUUGGACCUUUGUCAUUCCACAGAGCAUGAUGUACUAUCUAAAACAAAAAAGAAGAGCUGCUUUGGAGAAGGGCUUUAAAAGAUUGUUUCAUCAGAAGAAAGAUUUAGAAGAGGGGAAACUUCCAGUUACAUAAGAUGGGCAUUUUAGCAUUUAAAGACGUCUUUUCCCUGUGUAGGUCAUUGAGAUUGAUACCAGGAGCAGACUGUGGCUGACAAGGCCAGUUUAACUAAGCGGUUUCAUGCUCCUAGAGAGAUGCUGUCACUCUCUUUCUCACUUUGGCGAAUAUUCAUCUGCAAUGAGUCCAUUACCUGAAAGAGCAAGAGAACAACAACCAUAGAGGGGGACAACAGUAUGGCCUUCUGAGUGAAGACAGCAGCGGAAAAUGUCAUGAGAUUGACUGCAUUGGGCUGGGCUUGUUCUUUAAAAAAAAAAAAAGUCUUCUUUUUGAUGAUGAAAGUAACAGGUGGUCAUAGUUAAAAAAAUAAAGUGAAAGGUAUAAAUUAAAAAGUAAAGAAUAUCUAUAAUUUUAACAACCCAGAAAAUCUUAACAUUUGCAUGUUUCCUUUUACAACUUUAAAAAAGUGUAACAGUUUAAAAUUGACAUUGUAUUUGUUACUCUCCAACUUUCUCAUUUAAAAAUAAAUAAGCAUUUUUCCAUGUCA